GAUGAACGCUGGCGGCGUGCUUAAUACAUGCAAGUCGAGCGAACAGACCCGGAGCUUGCCCCUUUGACGUUAGCGGCGGACGUGCGAGUAACACGUGGAUCACCUACCUCUAAGACUGGGAUCACUUCGGGAAACCGGCUCUAACACCGCUCAACAUAUUGAACCGCAUUGUUCAAUAGUGAAUGACGGCCUUGCCGUCACCUAUAGAUGCCUCCCGGCCGCAUUAUCUAGUUGGUAAGGUAACGGCUUACCAAGGCAAGGAUGCGUAGCCGACCUGAGAGGGUGAUCGGCCACCCUGGAACUGAGCCGCGGGCCAGAGACCUACGGGAGGCCGCAGUAGGUAAUCUUCGGCAGUGGGGGAAAACUUGACGGAGCAGCGGCGCGUGGGUUAUGAAGGUCUCCGGAUCGGGAGCCCCGGUUAACAGGGGAGAACCUAUGCAUAAUGAAAGGUAGACGUCGUGACGGUAUCGUAUCAGAAAGCCACGGCUAACUACGUG
rnacentral:rRNA from 1 species